rnacentral:tRNA from 1 species
UAGAGUGUGGUGUAGUUGGUAGCACGGAGAAUUUUGAGUUCUCAGGGAUGGGUUCGAGGCCCAGGGCUCUAG